rnacentral:lncRNA from 1 species
CCAAUUGCCUAGCCUUACCAUUAUUAUUCCUUGGAACGUAUAUUUAAUAUUGAUUCCAAGAAAGAAGACAAGAAGAAAGAGAGAGAGAGGAGGAAGGAAGGAAGGAAGGAAGAGAGAGAGAGAGAGAGAGAGAGAGAGAGAGAAAGAGAGAAAGAGAGAAAGAGAGAAAGAGAGAAAGAGAGAAAGAGAGAAAGAGAGAAAGAGAGAAAGAGAGAAAGAGAGAAAGAGAGAAAGAGAGAAAGAAAGAAAGAAAGAAAGAAAGAAAGAAAGAAAGAAAGAAAGAAAGAAAGAAAGAAAGAAAGAAAGAAAGAAAGAAAGAAAGAAAGAAAGAAAGAAAGAAAGAAAGAAAGAAAGAAAGAAAGAAAGAAAGAAAGAAAGAAAGAAAGAAAGGAAGGAAGGAAGAAAGGAAGGGAGGAAGGGAGGGAGGGAGGGAGGGAGGGAGGGAGGGAGGGAGGGAGGGAGGGAAGGAAGGAGAAAGGGAGAAAGAAAAAGAGAGAAAGGCAACCUGGUACCAAAUUGUUAGAAGAACUUUCUAGACCACCUGGCCCCUUCCUCAACCAAGCCCUCCAUCUUCAUCAUUCGCACUCUUUAACAUCUUCUGUUCAUCUUUAUCCUGUGUGACAAGGAAAUCACUUUAAAAGACUGAUAUAUAUUAAUUUAAGGUCACCAAGGAAUUCAGCUAUGUAAUUCCUUAAUGAAAACUCAAGUCAGCAGUCAACCUUUUAUGGAGUUUAAUUACAAACAGGAGGAAGAAAGGUAUUAGAGAGAGAGAGAGAGAGAGAGAGAGAAAGGAAAAGGGCUUAAAUACCCCCCUGUCCUCAGACCCCGCUAUCUUUAAGGAAACCAUCCAAGUUCCCUCCCCUCAGUUCUCACAUCUACCAAUCACUGUCCAUGUCUUCCCUGUGCCAAUGGUGGCUCUAGCUUAACCCAGGACCGCCCAGAGGUCUGUGGCUUUGCACAUGUCUUUUGAAGGUCAUAUUCUCAAAUAAUUAAAUCUUGAUCCUUUGCUGCAGCCCUUCCUAAAUCCUGUUACCCUGAGUAGGGUGGAGAUUGGAAGUUCCAAGACCUGGUUCUGUCAUUCCAAGUAUCUCUAUUGUAUCAAUUCUAAAAUCAAUCAUGACUCAAAGAACUUCCUGUUCUAUGCUUAAGCAUAGGUCAAAGCCUAUUCCAUUGUUCAGCAAAAGGUUUCUGUCCUAAAGUAAUCUUAAGUAGGGAGGAGAAGGACCCUCCCAUGCCAAAGGGGGGUUCACAUUCCAAUAGACUAUCAGUAGGAAAUUUUUCAAGUAUGAAAUUUCCCAAUGGUGAAAUUUCCAACAUUUUUAAGUCUAAGAAAUUUUAAGGUUUACACCUGAUAAUCUGCUCUAGCCAGACCAAAAUAUUCAGAUUCAUGUGGAUCUGCAGACAUUUUUACAAAUAAAAAGUGCAUAUUCUACA